CUCCGAGUCCCGAGUCCCAUUCAUCAGAGUCUGUGCCCUUCCUCUCCAGCAUCCUGGCCCUGGGUGGGGCCUUGUGCCUUGGCGAGGUUUGGUGGCCUUUGCAGGGUUCCUGUGUGAGAGCAAGGCCAGCCUGUGUUGCCUCGGGCUUUGGGUAGCCCUUUACAGGGGAGCCUCCGGGGCGGGGUGGGGGUGGGGGGUGGGAGCCCUGUGGCUGCAGGUUGGGCCAGCCGUUUCUGGCUGCUUUGUUGGGGGGCCAGCCCAAGGUGGUGAGCUCCAGGCCUUGGUAGGAAGCAGAGCCCGGCCAAAAAAGUCCCUGGCAAGACAGAGCAGAGCGUUGGGCCACCCGAAUGAAUGGUGGCUGCCACCUUGUCCGAGGCAGGUCCCCUGAUUUAAUCCCUGGGACAGAGAGAGUCACCCAGGCCUGUGGGUGUGUCCUUGGCCUUUUGCUUCUCUCCCAGAGCUGGAGCUAGGAAAAAUGGGGUUGGAGCAAAGAAGGGGAAAGGCCUGCAGGGGGUCCCGCCUCCUGGUCAGCAGUCGUUCUGCCCAGUGCAUUUGGUGAGCGGCAUGGGUCCAGGUGGCUGGUUCCUUUCCUUUUCUGUGCUUCUUCCUGGGACUGUCUGUGUCAGUUGCGUUUUGCUUUUGCUUUCACCCUGGUAGGGCAGGAGGCUCCAGGCCCUGGGGGCGGGUGUUGGAGGGGGAGGGGGGGUAAGCAUUUGGUUGGCAUUGGUGGAGCCAUACUGCCAUCAAGCGGAGAUAGUUUCUGUCAGAGCCGGUUAGCAGGGCCCAAGGCAGAGGCCCUCCGGGAGGGGGAGAGAGAGAGAGAGAGACAGAGACAGAGACAGAGACAGA
rnacentral:lncRNA from 9 species